GACUGGGCUAGGAAAUUUAAGAAGAGAGACGACGAGAAAGAGAAGAAAACUAGAAAAGAGGAGGAUAAGGAGCGAAAAAAGGGGAGAAGAGAUAAGAAAUCUUGCGAGCAUUCGGAUAGCCGAGAGGGAAAAGAGGGGAAAACGAGAGAGAGGCACAAACACAGAAAUAAACGAGCAGAAAAGUAGCCAGACGAUAAGCCGCAAGCUUAGGAAUUUUUUCAAAUGAAGUGAGAACUGCAAUAUGGACCAGUCGGAGUCCGAUAGGGUUUUCUGCGAACUCAUAUCUUCUUCGCCGCCGCCGGUAAAAUUUUGAGUCUGGAGUGAAGUGAUUCCCGGCUAUCUAGAUUUUUUUUCUAUACAUUCAACUCCGGCGACAUUUCAUCGCCUGGCUUCCUUUUUCUGUUGUUUUUGUUUUUUGUUUUUCGAACUUAUUCAAUUGAAGAUACAUUAUUGUUAGUGAA